rnacentral:misc_RNA from 1 species
GAUGAAGAACGUAGCGAAAUGCGAUACGUAAUGUGAAUUGCAAAUUCAGUGAAUCAUCGAGUCUUUGAACGCACAUUGCGCCCCCUGGUAUUCCGGGGGGCAUGCCUGUCCGAGCGUCAUUGCUGCCCUCAAGCACGGCUUGUGUGUUGGGCCCCGUCCUCCGAUCCCGGGGGACGGGCCCGAAAGGCAGCGGCGGCACCGCGUCCGGUCCUCGAGCGUAUGGGGCUUUGUCACCCGCUCUGUAGGCCCGGCCGGCGCGUGCCGAUCAACCCAAAUUUUUAUCCAGGUUGACCUCGGAUCAGGUAGGGAUACCCGCUGAACUUAAGCAUAUCAAUAAGCGGAGGA